CAAAUGGAAAAGCACUCACUGCAAGGACUUGCACUUGGAAAACAAGCUUUCACAAGUCAAUUUUGAUGAAGUGGUUUGUGCUGUUGCCUUAUCUUACUCUGAAAACUCAAGGGGAAUUAAACCAUAUGAGCUUUGUAUGUCCCUUCCAAACCAUUCUAUGACUGUAUGGGAGUUGGAAUUCUUCCCUCUGAAUAGUGUGGGAGCUGAGGAGGAGGUGAAUGGUUUCAGUGAGACAAACAGGAGAAUGGUCAUUGUGGGGACAUCUACUUGGAUAAAAAAAGCCAGUGUAAUCCUACUAUCAUCUGACCUAUUUCUCCUCAAAGGCAAACCUUCCAUCUGCCAACCCAGCCUCUAUGCUUUUGCAGCAGUUACAGGAAUAACGUAUGUAUGGACCCUGGAGUCACUGCAUUUGU